AACCUGCCCAAGAGAUCGGGAUAACACCUGGAAACAGAUGCUAAUACCGGAUAACAACAGAUGAUGCCUAUCAACUGUUUAAAAGAUGGUUCUGCUAUCACUCUUGGAUGGACCUGCGGUGCAUUAGCUAGUUGGUAGGGUAACGGCCUACCAAGGCGAUGAUGCGUAGCCGAGUUGAGAGACUGAUCGGCCACAUUGGGACUGAGACACGGCCCAAACUCCUACGGGAGGCAGCAGUG
rnacentral:rRNA from 1 species